rnacentral:misc_RNA from 1 species
UUUUUUAAAAAAAAAGAGCCAAAUAGGACUUGGAUCAAAAGAAUGAAAAGAAAAAAAUGAUCCCUAUGUAGCCAAAACUGAGCAAACAAAUCAUGCUGGUGUUGCUGACUUGCCUUCUCCAAUAUGAGGAAGUCUUAAAUUGAACAUACCAGCAAGUCCCUUUCCCCUAGCUAGCUGUUCCAGCUCUUGAAUUUUGCUUCGAAGGCUCAUUAUCUCCUUUUCCAGUGCUUCAUCUCGUAGUCUCAAUUUCUCCGUUUCUUGCCUACGAAGUUCCUCCUUCUUAGCCUCUGCCCGAGAAUUCCUUUGCACCUCAAAUACAAUAAUAGCACCUGCG